CUUUCUUCCCUGACAAGAAGAUGGACAAGGUGAGCUGAAAAAGGCAAUCAACGAAAUUUCGCAUCAGUUUAUUGCGUUUCGGUGGUUGUUGGGAACUUGGGAUACUUAAGCAGUACUGCGGAUCGUUUUCAAGAUGAACUCGAAAUUGGUGUUUGUCGUAUGUGGACUUCUGAGCUUCUUGGGUGUUACGGCAAGAGACAACGAUGGCUGGACACCAGUUGGAACGUUGGUUGACGAGUACCCGUCUAACGCUGAAACGCAGAACGAUGAACAGCAGCUCAUAGAUGUGUCUGACCCUGAAGUUCUCUCGGAUGAAGCCUGUUCGAUGCUACUGACUACUCUUGACACUGAACCUAGUAACGUUACUACUGUACUUGAUGACAUGAAACUGGACCAGCCUGCUGUAAUAAGGAGAGGAAGGUGCUACAGGUCCAUUGACUACGGAGACAUCAUACGUAACGUGCCUGGCUUUUGUGUGGGUCCGUUGUACUUAGUCUACGGGGGAUAUAGAUACUGCUGCCGUAAUCAGUUUGAACAUCCACUUCUCUUGAGGAGAGGAUCACUCGUACGAUGUUCUUGUUUGUAUGAUAUUAGAGAUCCAAUAAAUCAACAGUUUUGAUUGAGAAUUGGAGUACUGUACCAUUAUCAUUUUAUAAGUUUCAUGAUUAAGCUAAAUAGUCUCCUCUUUAUAUAAAUUCUAAUGAAAGUGUUAAAACUAGUUAACAUCUAAGUGUAUUCUGUAAUUCUGGUUUACUCAUAAUGGAGAACUCUAAAGUCGUUGAAACCCUAAUCAGUACAUAAUGAUAAAAUCAACCAUGAAGACCAUUCUUGUAAUGAGUGCUAUAUUUAUAAACAUCCAGAAUUGC